rnacentral:rRNA from 1 species
AUGAAUCUCUUGGCCUGGAACUGUCGAGGACUGGAGUUGGACUCGAAAGUGGGCGAACUGCAGGACCUGAUUCGGUCCUACAACCCAGCGGUGGUGUUUCUGAGUGAGACAAAAAAAUCAGCACGGGCAAUGGAGAAAUUAAUGUGGAGGCUCGGUUUCAGAAACGGGGUAGCGGUGGGCUAUGUGGGAAGAAGUGGUGGGCUAGCUUUGUGGUGGAGAGAUCAUCUGCAGGUUACGGUGAGGCCUUGGUGCCAGUAUUUCAUUGACGCAGAGAUUGUGUUGGAUGGCAAGACCUGCAGAUUCACUGGUUUCUAUGAGGAGCCACGCACUGAGCUUCGAAAGAAGUCGUGGGACGCAAUAAGAUAUCUUAGAGGCCAAGAUAAUUUGCCUUGGCUGUGUGCAGGUGACUUCAAUGAAGCAAUGUUCCAAUCUGACCAGAGAGGGGGCAACUUGCGACCUUUUUCAUAG